rnacentral:rRNA from 2 species
AGCCCAGAGCCUGAAUCAGUGUGUGUGUUAGUGGAAGCGUCUGGAAAGGCGCGCGAUACAGGGUGACAGCCCCGUACACAAAAAUGCACAUGCUGUGAGCUCGAUGAGUAGGGCGGGACACGUGGUAUCCUGUCUGAAUAUGGGGGGACCAUCCUCCAAGGCUAAAUACUCCUGACUGACCGAUAGUGAACCAGUACCGUGAGGGAAAGGCGAAAAGAACCCCGGCGAGGGGAGUGAAAAAGAACCUGAAACCGUGUACGUACAAGCAGUGGGAGCACAGAGCAAUCUGUGUGACUGCGUACCUUUUGUAUAAUGGGUCAGCGACUUAUAUUCUGUAGCAAGGUUAACCGAAUAGGGGAGCCGAAGGGAAACCGAGUCUUAACCGGGCGUUAAGUUGCAGGGUAUAGACCCGAAACCCGGUGAUCUAGCCAUGGGCAGGUUGAAGGUUGGGUAACACUAACUGGAGGACCGAACCGACUAAUGUUGAAAAAUUAGCGGAUGACUUGUGGCUGGGGGUGAAAGGCCAAUCAAACCGGGAGAUAGCUGGUUCUCCCCGAAAGCUAUUUAGGUAGCGCCUCGUGAAUUCAUCUCCGGGGGUAGAGCACUGUUUCGGCAAGGGGGUCAUCCCGACUUACCAACCCGAUGCAAACUGCGAAUACCGGAGAAUGUUAUCACGGGAGACACACGGCGGGUGCUAACGUCCGUCGUGAAGAGGGAAACAACCCAGACCGCCAGCUAAGGUCCCAAAGUCAUGGUUAAGUGGGAAACGAUGUGGGAAGGCCCAGACAGCCAGGAUGUUGGCUUAGAAGCAGCCAUCAUUUAAAGAAAGCGUAAUAGCUCACUGGUCGAGUCGGCCUGCGCGGAAGAUGUAACGGGGCUAAACCAUGCACCGAAGCUGCGGCAGCGACACUGUGUGUUGUUGGGUAGGGGAGCGU